CCUAGCUCCUUAGGUGGAGCCAUGAUUGAUGGACAGUCAGCUUUUGCCAGUGAGACCCUCAGUAAGGCUCAUGGCAUGAAUACUAUAGACGAAGGGAUGGCAGCACUGAAGUUGGGUAGCACAGAAGUUGCAAGCAAUGUUCCAAAAGUUGUAGGUUCUGCUGUUGGUAGUGGGUCCAUUACUAGUAAUAUCGUGCCUUCCAACAGUUUGUCUCCAGCCACCAUUGCUCCUCCAAAACCAGCAUCUUGGGCUGAUAUUGCUAGCAAGCCUGCAAAACAGCAACCUAAACUGAAGACCAAGAAUGGCAUUGCAGGGUCAAGUCUUCUGCCACCCCCGAUAAAGCAUACUAUGGAUAUUGGAACUUGGGAUAACAAGGGUCCCAUUGCAAAAGCCCCCUUACAGGCUUUGGUUCAGAAUAUAGGUCAGCCAACCCAGGGGUCUCCUCAGCCUGUAGGUUAGCAGGCUAACAAUAGCCCACCAGUGGCUCCGGCAUCAGUAGGGCAACAGACACAGCCAUUGCCUCCACCUCCACCACAGCCUGCCCAGCUUUCAGUCCAGCAACAGGCAGCUCAGCCAACCCACUGGGUAGCAUCUCGGAACCAUGGCAGUGGGUUCGGUCACAAUGGGGUGGAUGGUAAUGGAGUAGGGCAGUCUCAGGCUGGUUCUGGAUCUACUCCUUCAGAACCCCACUCAGUGUUGGAGAAGCUUUGGUCCGUUAAUAACUAUAACCCCAAAGAUUUUGACUGGAAUUUGAAACAUGGCUGCGUUUUCAUCAUUAAGAGCUACUCUGAGGACGAUAUUCACUAUUCCAUUAAGUAUCAUAUUUGGUGCAGCACAGAGCAUGCUAACAAAAGACUGGAUGCUGCUUAUCGUUCCAUGAAUGGGAAAGGCCCCGUUUACUUACUUUUCAGUGUCAACGGCAGUGGACACUUCUGUGGCAUUGCAGGAAUGAAAUCUGCUGUGGACUACAACACAUGUGCAGGUAUGUGGUCCCAGGACAAAUGGAAGGGUCGUUUUGAUGUCAGGUGGAUUUUUGUGAAGGACGUUCCCAAUAGCUAACUGCGACACAUUUGCCUAGAGAACAACGAGAAUAAACCAGUGACCAACUCUAGGGACACUCAGGAAGUGCCUCUGGAAAAGGCUAAGCAGGUGUUGAAAAUUAUAGCCAGCUACAAGCACACCACUUCCAUUUUUGAUGAUUUCUCACACUAUGGGAAACGCCAAGAGGAAGAAGAAAGUGUUAAAAAGGAACGUCAAGGUCGUGGGAAAUAAAAGGCAGUUCUACACAGACUGCAGCAACGGUUGCAUCUGCAUGUCCUAAGAGGAAAAAAUGACCUUCAAGAGAAUUAGGACUUUUUUCUUAAUUUCACUGACUUCAGAGACGAUUGCAGACUUGCAGUUUAAGUAUUGGAAUUUCACAAAAGACAUAGGACUUAACUGGAAAAUAAAAAAAAAAAAGAAAAAGAAAAAACUAAACAAAAAAUCCCUCUAGGUAGUUUAGGUGAAAAACGUCCCUUUUAUUUUGGCUUUGGUUGUGAUUUCAGAGCAUAAUGCUUUUUUUUUUUGUCUUUUUACUAUGUUUUUCGGAUUUUUAAGUCCGUAAGUGCAUACAGUUUUCUCUAAUUUUUAAGCCCUUUCCUCCUCCCAUUUUGACAUUUGCACUUGGAGAACACUUGAGUUGUGAAGGUUUUGGGCAUCCACCCCAGAAAGUGGGAAUUUGAUUUUAUUCUUCUGAACUGGAAGAACAUUUUUAUGAAGAAUUUUUGUCUAGGAGAAUAUAACAGUGUUACCCAAGGUUGUGUCUUUAAGGGUGGUUCAUUUUCUCUGACCUUUUGUUACCCAAAGUAAAGUACUAGGAGUCCUAAGAAGUGUUCUGUUCUUGUACAUUAUACUGAUUAAGUCAGGAUUAAUUUGAUUUCAAAGCUAAGAACAGUGGUAAAAACUCGUUUACAGAAAUGCAUUUUGGAAGAGAAAAAUACUGUAAAACGUGUAGUGAAUGUUUCUUCAGUUUCUUGUUCAGCCAAUGAGGAAAGGGCAUUGCCUUUCUUUUUACCAUUAAUCACUUCUGAAUAAACGUGA